rnacentral:rRNA from 1 species
GACGAACGCUGGCGGCGUGCUUAACACAUGCAAGUCGUACGGUAAGGCCCUUUCGGGGGUACACGAGUGGCGAACGGGUGAGUAACACGCGAGUAACCUGCCCACAACUUUGGGAUAACGCUAGGAAACUGGUGCUAAUACUGGAUAUGUGCUCCUGCUGCAUGGUGGGGGUUGGAAAGCUCCGGCGGUUGUGGAUGGACUCGCGGCCUAUCAGCUUGUUGGUGGGGUAGUGGCCUACCAAGGCGGCGACGGGUAGCCGGCCUGAGAGGGUGACCGGCCACAUUGGGACUGAGAUACGGCCCAGACUCCUACGGGAGGCAGCAGUGGGGAAUAUUGCACAAUGGGCGCAAGCCUGAUGCAGCAACGCCGCGUGCGGGAUGACGGCCUUCGGGUUGUAAACCGCUUUCAGCAGGGACGAAGCUUUUUGUGACGGUACCUACAGAAGAAGCACCGGCUAACUACGUG